UACGUAGGGUGCAAGCGUUAAUCGGAAUUACUGGGCGUAAAGCGUGCGCAGGCGGUUUUGUAAGUUUGUCGUGAAAUCCCCGGGCUUAACCUGGGAAUUGCGAUGAAGACUGCAAGGCUAGAAUCUGGCAGAGGGGGGUAGAAUUCCACGUGUAGCAGUGAAAUGCGUAGAUAUCAGGAGGAAUACCGAUGGCGAAGGCAGGUCUCUGGGCUGACACUGACGCUCAUGCACGAAAGCGUGGGGAGCAAACAGG
rnacentral:rRNA from 1 species